rnacentral:rRNA from 1 species
GAGUUUGAUCCUGGCUCAGAUUGAACGUUGGCGGCAGGCCUAACACAUGCAAGUCGAACGGUAACAGGAAACAGCUUGCUGUUUCGCUGACGAGUGGCGGACGGGUGAGUAAUGUCUGGGAAACUGCCUGAUGGGAGGGGGAUAACUACUGGAAACGGUAGCUAAUACCGCAUAACGUCGCAAGACCAAAGAGGGGGACCUUCGGGCCUCUUGCCAUCGGAUGUGCCCAGAUGGGAUUAGCUAGUAGGUGGGGUAACGGCUCACCUAGGCGACGAUCCCUAGCUGGUCUGAGAGGAUGACCAGCCACACUGGAACUGAGACACGGUCCAGACUCCUACGGGAGGCAGCAGUGGGGAAUAUUGCACAAUGGGCGCAAGCCUGAUGCAGCCAUGCCGCGUGUAUGAAGAAGG